UACGUAGGGAGCAAGCGUUGUCCGGAAUCAUUGGGCGUAAAGCGCGCGUAGGUGGCCCGGUAAGUCCGCUCUGAAAGUCACAGGCUCAACCUGUGAAAGCGGGUGGAUACUGCCGGGCUAGAGUCCGGAAGAGGCGAGUGGAAUUCCUGGUGUAGCGGUGGAAUGCGCAGAUAUCAGGAGGAACACCAACGGCGAAGGCAGCUCGCUGGGACGGUACUGACGCUGAGACGCGAAAGCGUGGGGAGCAAACAGG
rnacentral:rRNA from 1 species